GGGGGGAUUACAUUUUAAAAAAAAAUGUGUGUUUGUGUGUAUGUGUGUGUUAGUGUAUGUGUAUGUGUGUGUGUGUGUAUGUGUGUGUGUGUGUAUGUGUGUUUGUGUGUUAGUGUAUGUGUGUGUUAGUGUAUGUAUGUGUGUGUUUGUGUGUGUUAGUGUAUGUGUGUUAGUGUAUGCAUGUGUGUGUUUAUGUGUGUUAGUGUGUGUGUUUGUGUGUUAGUGUAUGUGUGUUAGUGUGUGUGUUCAACACAGUAAAGGAGGAGACUAUAUUUAAAAGAAGAAAAACUACCACAACAAGAGGACAUAGUCUUAAAUUAGAG